GCCCCGUUCGUCUAGUGGCCUAGGACAUCGCCCUCUCACGGCGACGACAUGGGUUCAAAUCCCAUACGGGGUA
rnacentral:tRNA from 1 species